rnacentral:rRNA from 1 species
ACGCUCGACACCUACGGGAGGAAGCAGUGGGGAAUAUUGCACAAUGGGGGAAACCCUGAUGCAGCGACGCCGCGUGAAGGAAGAAGUAUCUCGGUAUGUAAACUUCUAUCAGCAGGGAAGAAAGUGACGGUACCUGACUAAGAAGCCCCGGCUAACUACGUGCCAGCAGCCGCGGUAAUCUGAGCGGGCUGGCAAGGC